rnacentral:rRNA from 1 species
AGGGUCCGUAGCCGGUUUAAUCAGUCUUCUGGGAAAUCUAAUCGCUUAACUAUUAGGCUUCCAGGGGAUACUGUUAGACUUGGGACCGGGAGAGGUAAGAGGUACUGCAGGGGUAGGAGUGAAAUCUUGUAAUCCCUGUGAGACCACCAGUGGCGAAGGCGUCUUACCAGAACGGGUCCGACGGUGAGGGACGAAAGCUGGGGGCACGAACCGGAUUAGAUACCCGGGUAGUCCCAGCUGUAAACGAUGCUCGUUAGGUGUCAGGAACGGUGCGACUGUUUCUGGUGCCGAAGGGAAGCCGUGAAACGAGCCACCUGGGAAGUACGGCCGCAAGGCUGAAACUUAAAGGAAUUGGCGGGGGAGCACUACAACGGGUGGAGCCUGCGGUUUAAUUGGACUCAACGCCGGAAAACUCACCGGGGGCGACAGCAAUAUGUAGGUCAGGUUAAAGGUCUUACCUGAAUCGCUGAGAGGAGGUGCAUGGCCGUCGUCAGUUCGUACUGUGAAGCAUCCUGUUAAGUCAGGCAACGAGCAAGACCCGUGCCCACUGUUACCAGCAUAUCCUUUAUGGAUGAUGGGGACUCUGUGGGGACCGCUGCUGCUAAAGCAGAGGAAGGUGCGGGCUACGGUAGGUCAGUAUGCCCCGAAUCUCCCGGGCUACACGCGGGCUACAAUGGUUGGGACAAUGGGUAUCUACUCCGAAAGGAGUUGGCAAUCUCUUAAACCCAAUCGUAGUUCGAAUUGAGGGCUGUAACUCGCCCUCAUGAAGCUGGAAUCCGUAGUAAUCGCGUUUCAACAUAGCGCGGUG